AUUGAACGCUGGCGGCAGGCCUAACACAUGCAAGUCGAGCGGAUGAAGGGAGCUUGCUCCUGGAUUCAGCGGCGGACGGGUGAGUAAUGCCUAGGAAUCUGCCCGGUAGUGGGGGAUAACGUCCGGAAACGGGCGCUAAUACCGCAUACGUCCUGAGGGAGAAAGUGGGGGAUCUUCGGACCUCACGCUAUCAGAUGAGCCCAGGUCGGAUUAGCUAGUUGGUGGGGUAAAGGCCUACCAAGGCGACGAUCCGUAACUGGUCUGAGAGGAUGAUCAGUCACACUGGAACUGAGACACGGUCCAGACUCCUACGGGAGGCAGCAGUGGGGAAUAUUGGACAAUGGGCGAAAGCCUGAUCCAGCCAUGCCGCGUGUGUGAAGAAGGUCUUCGGAUUGUAAAGCACUUUAAGUUGGGAGGAAGGGCAGUAAGUUAAUACCUUGCUGUUUUGACGUUACCAACAGAAUAAGCACCGGCUAACUUCGUG
rnacentral:rRNA from 1 species